rnacentral:tRNA from 1 species
ACUUCCUUAGUAUAACCUAUUACAAGUAAUUUCCACUUAUUUAACCCAACCGACUAGUUGGAGGAAGUA